UAGGGAAUCUUCGGCAAUGGACGAAAGUCUGACCGAGCAACGCCGCGUGAGCGAUGAAGGCCUUCGGGUCGUAAAGCUCUGUUGUCAGAGAAGAACAAGUACCGGAGUAACUGCCGGUACCUUGACGGUACCUGACCAGAAAGCCACGGCUAACUACGUGCCAGCAGCCGCGGUAAUACGUAGGUGGCAAGCGUUAUCCGGAAUUAUUGGGCGUAAAGCGCGCGCAGGCGGUUCUUUAAGUCUGAUGUGAAAGCCCACGGCUCAACCGUGGAGGGUCAUUGGAAACUGGGGAACUUGAGUGCAGGAGAGAAAAGUGGAAUUCCACGUGUAGCGGUGAAAUGCGUAGAGAUGUGGAGGAACACCAGUGGCGAAGGCGGCUUUUUGGCCUGUAACUGACGCUGAGGCGCGAAAGCGUGGGGAGCAAACAGGAUUAGAUACCCGUGUAGUCC
rnacentral:rRNA from 1 species